UCUUUGAUAGUAUAAUGGUCAGUACGCCCGCUUGUCAUCACGUGACCCAGAACGCGGGAGACCUGGGUUCAAUUCCCAGUCAGAGAG
rfam:Plicaturopsis crispa FD-325 SS-3 unplaced genomic scaffold PLICRscaffold_14, whole genome shotgun sequence.